AUGGCAGCAAGAGAUGGUGUCAUCUUCGCCAAGUUGAGGGGUUUUUCGAGAGUCGUCCUCGAGACGGAUUGCCGGGAGGUUGUAAACUUCUGGACCAAUCGCCACGAUUCACGCUCAGUCGUGGCACCGAUCAUAGUAGAGAUUGGAGAGCUAGCUAUUAGUUUUACUUCUUUUGUAAUCCAGCAUGUAUCAGGGACAACGAACGGUCCGGCUCAUAUCUGUGUCAAGCAUGCUUACAUGAUUGACGCGACCGAGAGUUGGCUAGACAGUACUCCUAGCUUCUUAAUCAGCAGCCUUUUGGAUGACUGCGCAGAGAACGCUUUUACUUAA
rnacentral:rRNA from 1 species